rnacentral:tRNA from 1 species
GCCUGGGUGGCUCAGUUGGUUGAGCAUCUGACUUCAGCUCAGGUCACGAUCUCACUGUGAGUUUGAGCCCCGCAUUGGGCU